GUGUGCCUCCAUAGAUCCUUGCCGCUGUUUUCUUUUCCUAAUUAACUUUUUCCUUUCGGCCUAGGGCCCCCAUGGGGCCCACGGCCCCCUGUCACAGACGCAAGUGGAUUUUUCGUUCAAACCGUGACACCUCCUUAGAUCGUUGCCGCUAUUUUCUUUUCCUAAUUAAUUUUUUUUUUUUUUCCUUUCAGCCUAGGGCCCCUGUGGGGCCCACGGCCCCUGUCAUGGACGCAGGUAGAUUUUUAGUUUAAACCGUGACAGAAAAGUUUCAACUUGACAUCGGAGGUGAGACUGAAUGGAAAAGUGAACAUGCUACUACUUUGGAAAGUCAACAGACUCCUGGGGAGAAGACUACAGGCCAACCUCUUCAGGUUCCUUCUGCAUCUGCCUGGGGCACUGGCAGCAGUGCUGAAGAUGAGAGUACAGAAGACGCUCAGACAGAAGUUAAAAUUCAAAACAUGAAACAGAAGGAUGCAGAAGUGAAAAGGCUCGAAACGCUACUGAAGGAAAUUGCCGAAUGUCAGGACAACCUCGAGGAAGCAAAUGAAUCCAUAAGAAAACCAUCGAGAUGAAUUAUUUCCUAUGAUCAGUAAACUCCUCGCUCAUAGUUCAUGAUGUUACUUGUCUGAACAGGGUGUUUGCAAAAAUGAUUAUUUACUUUGUCCGUGGCAGUAAGUAUGUGAAUGCAUGAAAUUACUUUCCCCCUCUCUGUUUCUGAGUUCUUGAGGCAUUUUUGCAGCGUGGUCUCUACUGUUCUGUCACUUGUUUACAAGAAGAGAAAGGGUAAAGCAGUUGUUGGUUUAAUCACUCUGCUGCUCAGGAACUCCGUCAAAGGAUUUCGGAGUGUUGUUUACCAAAAAAAUCGAGUUUUCUGUACACAGAUAUUUGAGUAUUUUUGAUUCUUUGAUUUGAAUGAUAAGAUUCUACAGAAGGAGCGCUUGAAUGAGCAAAUAAGGACAGCAGAAGCUUGUUUCAUCUAUCUUGAAGGUAAGGUGUUUUCUUAUCUGGACAAGAUUCCUUUGUAGGUCAGAAGAAAAACAGAAUUCCUUGUUCUGUUUUGUUGUAGUGUAAAUAUCAGUUUAUAGUGGCAGAGAUGCGUAAGGAUACUGGUGAAGUGGCACAACAGAUGACACCUUUCAUGCAGGAGGAAGUGAGGGCAGCAUCAGGAAGGGAUCAAGUAAGAGUUGGGCAAAGUGGGAAAUUCACUCAAAAGCCAUUCAGCAAUGGAACAUUCUCUGCAUACCUGUUGAAAUAAGGAAACUUUUCUAAUUUCAUUUGUUUCAUGAGUUAAUUAGUUGGAGAAAGAAUAGAUUCUAUGAGGGGGAAGUGGGCAGUAAAUGGAGAAAAUAA